CCGAAGAAAAAGACAGGAGCUCGAAAAAAAGCUGAAAAGCAGAAGGAACGUCAGCGAGGAAUAAGAGAAGCUCGAGACCGACCGAUCACUGAGUAUUUCUGUAAUGUAACAAUGGAAUGUGAUAAAUGUAAAAGACGUCAGAAAAACAGAGCCUUCUGUUAUUUUUGUUCCUCAGUUCAAAAGUUACCUAUGUGUGGAAACUGUGAAUUACAAGAAUUGCUUGCCCCUGCAACUACUAGUUCCAGAACCAAUAAUUGAGGCGAGGGC